UACGUAGGUGGCAAGCGUUGUCCGGAAUUAUUGGGCGUAAAGCGCGCGCAGGCGGUCCUUUAAGUCUGAUGUGAAAGCCCACGGCUCAACCGUGGAGGGUCAUUGGAAACUGGGGGACUUGAGUGCAGAAGAGAAAAGUGGAAUUCCACGUGUAGCGGUGAAAUGCGUAGAGAUGUGGAGGAACACCAGUGGCGAAGGCGACUCUUUGGUCUGUAACUGACGCUGAGGCGCGAAAGCGUGGGGAGCAAACAGG
rnacentral:rRNA from 1 species